rnacentral:rRNA from 1 species
GAUGAACGCUGGCGGCGUGCCUAAUACAUGCAAGUCGAGCGAACAGACGAGGAGCUUGCUCCUCUGACGUUAGCGGCGGACGGGUGAGUAACACGUGGAUAACCUACCUAUAAGACUGGGAUAACUUCGGGAAAACGGAGCUAAUACCGGAUAAUAUAUUUAACCGCAUGGUUCAAUAGUGAAAGACGGUUUUGCUGUCACUUAUAGAUGGAUCCGCGCCGCAUUAGCUAGUUGGUAAGGUAACGGCUUACCAAGGCAACGAUGCGUAGCCGACCUGAGAGGGUGAUCGGCCACACUGGAACUGAGACACGGUCCAGACUCCUACGGGAGGCAGCAGUAGGGAAUCUUCCGCAAUGGGCGAAAGCCUGACGGAGCAACGCCGCGUGAGUGAUGAAGGUCUUCGGAUCGUAAAACUCUGUUAUUAGGGAAGAACAAAUGUGUAAGUAACUAUGCACGUCUUGACGGUACCUAAUCAGAAAGCCACGGCUAACUACGUG